UUGAUAUAUAGUGUGUAAGAAGAUGAAAAGUUAUUGGUCAAAGAUUUAUAUAUUAAUACAAAAAUUGUAAAGGUUGAUUUUGUAAUUUACAAGAAAUGUUUCUGUUGGGCAUUAUGGAAAAAGAGUUGGAUAGUAAAUAUGGGUUGUCUUCAAUACAUUGCAAUAGCAACAAGAAUAUUAUUCGUUCAAAUUUGGAACCUAAUCGAAGCACCAAUGUCAGAAGAAUUAAGGUGGCUGAGUUAGUCUAAAUUGCCAAAUUAUUGUAGGUGUUAAUGGAUCAACCAAUUAAUUUUUUUUCUUAAUUUUUUUCUUAAAAAUUGGAAAAUGUUUAUGGACUUUUUGAGCAAUCUAAUAAUGCAAUAAUCCAUGAUUAUGGUUAUAGUUAUUAGUAAUUAGUAGGAUUAUUUAGUUGGAUCUUUAAUAUAGAAGAAUACAUGUUGAGUCCCCCUUAUCUGAAAUGCUUGGGACAAGAAGUAUUUUGAAUUUCAGAUUUUUUUUUUCAGAUUUUUGAUGUGAUAUGUGUUUCCUAUAUACCUUAUACACAUGACCUGAAGGUAUUUUAUACAAUACUAGCUGUGCCCGGCCACGCGUUGCUGUGGCAAAGUGGUGGUGGUAUUGGUUAAAAAUAGUUGUGGAAUGUUUAUUUGAUGUUAUUUGUAUUUUUAAAUUAAUGUUAUUGUAACUUACGUUUUUUAUUUAUUAUAUUUUAUUAUUUUGUUGUAUUAUUUUUACUUAUUUUGUGUUAUUAUAGUAUUUUAUUGUAUUAAUUUUUGAGUGUUUUUAAUUUUUUUUAGUGUUUUAUUAUUUUUAUUGUAUUAUUUGUAUUUAUUUUAUUUUUAUUGUUUUAUUAUUAUUUGUAUUUUUAUUCUUUUAUUAUUUUUAUGUAUUAUAUUUUAUUAUUUGAUUAUAUUAUUUUUAUUUUUAUUUUUAAUUGUAUUAUUUUAUUUUGGGGUUUUUUGUAUUUAUUUUAUUAUUUUUAUUAGAAAUAAUAUGACAGUAUAGUGGUAUAGUAGAAUAUAGUACAUAAUAUGUAAUGUUGAUAUUGUGCGUUGAUAAUAAUAUAAUGUAUUGUAUGUAUAUAUUAUUUAUAAGCCUCUGUGAGUCUACAUCGGGGUGAGAAGGGCAGGAUUAAUAUGUGCACAAUGUCACAUAUAGGAGUAUUAUUAUUAUAAAUUUAAACCGUAACUAUUCAUAUCUCACAUUUCUAUCUAAACAAACAUACACGGAAUUUCAUGUCUACACUUUGGCCCCUUCUCCAAGACAUCUCAUUAAAUAUCCCUAUUAUACAAAUACAGGGUAUAUUUAUCCAAAUCUAGGUCAAUCCCAAAAUCCAUGAACAUCAGUAUUUCAGAUUUUUCUCUAUUGAAGGAAACAUAUUGGAAUGUCGCGCCUCCGUCUGGGCCCAUCCACAAAACAUCUCAUUAACUAUGCACAAUAUGCAAAUGCACGACAUACAUUUAUAUAUUAAUUUACUAAAUUUAUUUAUUAUUAUUAUUAUUACUAUUAUUAUUUAACUGUCAGUUUAACUGUCACUCCUGAGGAUGUGUGGUUGGGUUAUUAUUAUUGGAUUAUUUUUAUUCUUAUUAUUAUUGCUAAUUGAGAGACCAUGAAGGCCAGUCAUAUAGAAAAGGAGGGUGACUUUGUUUUUGCCGUCCUUUUUCCCUUGGCGCCUGGCCAAUGGCCUUUUCAACCGGUACCGUGGACUUCAUCUCCCAGAAUCCCUGGCCUUUGAACCAUCCACGAGGGUUUCUGGGAGUUGGAGUCCCGAACGCCAUCCAUUGGCAUUGCUGGAAACCGCUUGGGUCUUCAACUCCCAGAAUUCAUAGCCAUUGAAGAAGCUUGCAAGCGUUUCUGGGAGUUGGAGUCCAGAAUGUUUUGCUGGCUGAGGUCAGAGCACAGCCAUAGAGGGUGGUUUUCCUCUGUCGCCAUCCUGCUGCCUUGGGCUUCUGAGCGGCUGCCCUUUGCAGGAGGGAAAGGUGGAGGAAGGGUUUGGCUGGGCCUGCUGCCUGAGAAGGGAGGCGAGGCCUAGCCAGGCGCCAAGCACUGGCCUCACAUAGGACGCCGUCCCAGGAAAGAGAUGCCCUCCUGGGAAGGGGCGAGGAGUCUUAUGGAAGCUGAAAGAAAGAUGGGAGAAUUCUGACAGUGGAUCAGAAGACCAACUUCCCUAAGCCCUAGAAGCAAAGUCAUGCUACCCCUCGAGGGAAGUCAUGCUCCCCCUCUAUUCUGCCUUGGUCAGACCACACCCGGAAUACUGUGUCCAAUUCUGGGCACCGCAAUUGAAAGGAGAUGUUGACAAACUGGAAGGUGUCCAGAGGAGGGCGACUAAAAUGAUCAAGGGUCUGGAGAACAAGCCCUACGAGGAGUGGCUGAAAGAGGAUUUGCUUCCUAAGGCCAAGACUCUGUUGUGUCAUAUACUCUGGAAUAACUCCUGUUGUGUCAGCGACUGCCUUUUCUUUGUUCUAGCAGAAGCUGCAACGGGGCUUGUAAAGAAGGAAUAUGGAGCUUUAACAAGAGCUUGGAUGCAUCAUUAUGUUGGAAUAACCAGUAAUACCCCUCUUAUGGCUCUUUUCAUUUAUUGAGUAAAAUAUUGAUACUAGUUCAAUUGCAUAUACUCCUAUUAUUAAAACACCAGAAUGUACUUAUAAAAGGUAUUAUUUUCAAGAGCAGAUUUUAGCCAUAUGAAUUAAGACUAAUAAUAUCUGGGUUUUGUGUUUGUUUGUUUGUAUUCAUGUGUAUGCCUUUUUAUGGAUUUGAAGCACGGAUGAAAGCUCUCACUUUUGGCCCUAAUGCUAAACAUUUUCUUUUGGAAUGUAAAGAAGAUUCUUAGUUUUUCUAGUUCUCAUGAAAGAAAUGAUGUUCCUCAUUAAAGAUAUGGUCAACUGGUGCAUAUUUUAGGAUUUCUCUAAAGAAAAUAAUUUACUCAUUUUCUUUCAAAUCAUGUUUUUAUUUUUGUGCAAACCCCAAAAUGUUGUGAAAAAACGGGUAUUUUCCAUAGUUUUAUGCAUGAAAUGUUUGGACAAAAAUAAGUUUGUUGUGCAAAUUUUUGCAGAAAAUCUUCUCAAAAUUCACAAAAACUCUUGUCAUCUUGGCCACUAUGAAGAACAUUUCCAAAAUUAUUCAGUUUUGCAUGCAACAAUGAACUAUGUAAAGAUUUGUAUCCCUUUUCUCUUCUAAGACACGGAAAAGCAACUUCAAUUAUUGCAUCCUUCUUUCAGAAAUUGAAUCAUGAUCAACUCUUGUCUGUUUUUAUGAUGGCUCAAAGCAUAAUGAGGCUAUUUCAUUGAAAUAAAGCAUUUCAAACCAA